UACAGAGGAUGCAAGCGUUAUCCGGAAUCAUUGGGCGUAAAGAGCGUGUAGGCGGUCCGGUAAGUCCGCUGUGAAAGUCGGGGGCUCAACCCUCGAAUGCCGGUGGAUACUGUCGGGCUAGAGUGCGGAAGAGGCGAGUGGAAUUCCUGGUGUAGCGGUGAAAUGCGCAGAUAUCAGGAGGAACACCUAUUGCGAAGGCAGCUCGCUGGGACGUAACUGACGCUGAGACGCGAAAGCGUGGGGAGCAAACAGG
rnacentral:rRNA from 1 species